rnacentral:rRNA from 1 species
AGAGUUUGAUCCUGGCUCAGAUUGAACGCUGGCGGCAGGCCUAACACAUGCAAGUCGAGCGGAUGAAGAGAGCUUGCUCUCUGAUUCAGCGGCGGACGGGUGAGUAAUGCCUAGGAAUCUGCCUGGUAGUGGGGGACAACGUUUCGAAAGGAACGCUAAUACCGCAUACGUCCUACGGGAGAAAGCAGGGGACCUUCGGGCCUUGCGCUAUCAGAUGAGCCUAGGUCGGAUUAGCUAGUUGGUGAGGUAAUGGCUCACCAAGGCGACGAUCCGUAACUGGUCUGAGAGGAUGAUCAGUCACACUGGAACUGAGACACGGUCCAGACUCCUACGGGAGGCAGCAGUGGGGAAUAUUGGACAAUGGGCGAAAGCCUGAUCCAGCCAUGCCGCGUGUGUGAAGAAGGUCUUCGGAUUGUAAAGCACUUUAAGUUGGGAGGAAGGGCAUUAACCUAAUACGUUAGUGUUUUGACGUUACCGACAGAAUAAGCACCGGCUAACUCUGUGCCAGCAGCCGCGGUAAUACAGAGGGUGCAAGCGUUAUCCGGAUUCAUUGGGCGUAAAGAGCGCGUAGGCGGCUUGUUAAGUUAGGUGUGAAAUCCGGGGGCUUAACCCGCGGCUUGCAUCUAAAACUGGCAGGCUUGAGUCUGGUAGAGGAAAGUGGAAUUCCCAGUGUAGCGGUGAAAUGCGCAGAUAUUGGGAGGAACACCAGUGGCGAAGGCGGCUUUCUGGGCCACGACUGACGCUGAGGCGCGAAAGCUAGGGGAGCAAACAGGAUUAGAUACCCUGGUAGUCC